rnacentral:tRNA from 1 species
GUGGUGUAGCUCAGUGGUAGAGUGCUUGCCUAGCAUGUGUGAGGCCCUGGGGUCAAUCCCCAGUACUUACA